GACGAACCUUGCAAACGUUAUUCGGAAUCACUGGGCUUAAAGGGCGCGUAGGCGGGUGGCCAAGUCGGUGGUGAAAUCCUCCAGCUCAACUGGAGAAUUGCCUUCGAUACUGGUUGUCUUGAGGGGGGUAGGGGCAGACGGAACUUCCGGUGGAGCGGUGAAAUGCGUAGAUAUCGGAAGGAACGCCGGCGGCGAAAGCGGUCUGCUGGACCCUCACUGACGCUGAGGCGCGAAAGCCAGGGGAGCAAACGGG
rnacentral:rRNA from 1 species